rnacentral:rRNA from 1 species
GAAUUCCACGUGUAGCGGUGAAAUGCGUAGAGAUGUGGAGGAACACCAGUGGCGAAGGCGACUCUCUGGUCUGUAACUGACGCUGAGGAGCGAAAGCGUGGGGAGCGAACAGGAUUAGAUACCCUGGUAGUCCACGCCGUAAACGAUGAGUGCUAAGUGUUAGGGGGUUUCCGCCCCUUAGUGCUGCAGCUAACGCAUUAAGCACUCCGCCUGGGGAGUACGGUCGCAAGACUGAAACUCAAAGGAAUUGACGGGGGCCCGCACAAGCGGUGGAGCAUGUGGUUUAAUUCGAAGCAACGCGAAGAACCUUACCAGGUCUUGACAUCCUCUGACAAUCCUAGAGAUAGGACGUCCCCUUCGGGGGCAGAGUGACAGGUGGUGCAUGGUUGUCGUCAGCUCGUGUCGUGAGAUGUUGGGUUAAGUCCCGCAACGAGCGCAACCCUUGAUCUUAGUUGCCAGCAUUCAGUUGGGCACUCUAAGGUGACUGCCGGUGACAAACCGGAGGAAGGUGGGGAUGACGUCNAAUCAUCAUGCCCCUUAUGACCUGGGCUACACACGUGCUACAAUGGGCAGAACAAAGGGCANCGAAACCGCGAGGUUAANCCAAUCCCACAAAUCUGUUCUCANUUCGGAUCGCAGUCUGCAACUCNACUGCGUGAAGCUGGAAUCGNUAGUAAUCGCGGAUCA